rnacentral:rRNA from 1 species
GAUGAACGCUAGCUACAGGCUUAACACAUGCAAGUCGAGGGGUAACGAGAGGAAAGCUUGCUUUCCUUGUCGACGACCGGCGCACGGGUGAGUAACGCGUAUCCAACCUGCCCCCAACUAAGGAAUAGCCUUGCGAAAGUAAGACUAAUACCUUAUAAUUUCCUCAGAUGUCAUCUGACGAGGAAUAAAGAUUUAUCGGUUGUGGUUGGGGAUGCGUCUGAUUAGCUUGUUGGCGGGGUAACGGCCCACCAAGGCAACGAUCAGUAGGGGUUCUGAGAGGAAGGUCCCCCACAUUGGAACUGAGACACGGUCCAAACUCCUACGGGAGGCAGCAGUGAGGAAUAUUGGUCAAUGGGCGAAAGCCUGAACCAGCCAAGUAGCGUGCAGGAUGACGGCCCUAUGGGUUGUAAACUGCUUUUAUACAGGAAUAAAGUUAGCCACGUGUGGUUAUUUGUAGGUACUGUAUGAAUAAGGACCGGCUAACUCCGUGCCAGCAGCCGCAGUAA